UUGACCUUAAUCAUAAGGGAUGGUAAC
rnacentral:piRNA from 1 species